rnacentral:lncRNA from 1 species
AGGAAGGAAAGAAAGAGUACACUGACUUGAUAGAGGGAAAUAUAUAUGUAGAUAGAGGAGAUAAGAUAUAGAGUACCAAGCACUUGGUACUUGUAAAUUUUUUACCUUUUAGAUCUACACUUUUGAUUAUUUUUAUUCGUUAGAUUAUACUAUUCAACCAACCAACCACCCACUCAAUCUUAAAAAACCCACAUCAUUCUAACUGCACAUUUCUUAAUCCAAUGACAAAAAAUCUAAAAGCACCAACAACUUGAUACUUUUAAAAACAUAGGAGCACAAUUCUAUAUGUAUAUGCAGCUCAGUUAUUAUAGAAUUUAGAAGUGCUCCUCUAUGUGUAUAGAUAAACUGGAGCAGUAAUAGAAGAAGAAGGUUCUAAGAUUGAUACUUAUAUUGGGCUGUUCUUCUUCUGUUACUCUCGCUUUUCCUUGUUUCUUUCACUAUACCUGUCUCCCUCUCUUAAAUAGGGUAUAUUCCUGUUUAAUCAAAAAAAAGAUUGAUACUUGUAUUG